rnacentral:rRNA from 1 species
GACGAACGCUGGCGGCGUGCCUAAUACAUGCAAGUAGAACGCUGAAGGAGGAGCUUGCUUCUCUGGAUGAGUUGCGAACGGGUGAGUAACGCGUAGGUAACCUGCCUGGUAGCGGGGGAUAACUAUUGGAAACGAUAGCUAAUACCGCAUAAUAGUAGAUGUUGCAUGACAUUUGCUUAAAAGGUGCAAUUGCAUCACUACCAGAUGGACCUGCGUUGUAUUAGCUAGUUGGUGGGGUAACGGCUCACCAAGGCGACGAUACAUAGCCGACCUGAGAGGGUGAUCGGCCACACUGGGACUGAGACACGGCCCAGACUCCUACGGGAGGCAGCAGGAGGGAAUCUUCGGCAAUGGACGGAAGGCUGACCGAGCAACGCCGCGGGAGGGAAGAAGGUUGUCGGAUCGGAAAGCUCGGUUGUAAGAGAAGAACGAGUGUGAGAGUGGAAAGUUCACACUGUGACGGUAUCUGACCAGAAAGGGACGGCUAACUACGUG